rnacentral:lncRNA from 1 species
AGGUUAUGAUUUAUGCCCUCAAUUGCAGAUUUUUAGUAGUGAGUAGCUUGAAGCCAAUCGCCCAUUUGACUAUUGAGGCUAGUCACUCGAGCAUUAAAGUUUUUUCCGUCUAAUACUUCUUGCUAACUGGCGACUAAAACCUAAUCUUCUUCUGGAAAUAUGCAAUCCCAACCGCCGUUGCUACGCCUCUCUCCGGACUCUACUCCGCCAUGAAACAUCCGUACACCCUUCAAGUUUUCAUUUUUAAGGAGUCGGAGAUGAAGUUUUUCUCAAAAGCAUUCUAAACUCUAUCGAGACUGUAGCAAGACGAAGGGUCCAGAGCUUGGACCCAAGUUGGUGGUACAGAGAUUGGACCAGAAUGGUCUGAAACAAACGUUCAAGUACUAAUAAAAAGAUGAAAACUUGGUAAGACCAUAUAGUUUAUUUUCUACAAUUCAAGAUUGUAUUAGUGCAUCCAUCGCAUGACCCUAUCCAUUCAUCUCGGUAUGUAUUUGUUAAACUUGUGAUACAAAUAAUUUUAAUAUCAUGGAACUUAAUGCUUAUACAUGAAUGGUUUAUUUGUAGGUAGUCCAUAAGGAUUGAGGACGCAACAUGACUCAAGAUUUUAUGCUUUUUAUUUCUUUAAUUGCUUUUAAUUUCUUUGUUAAAUGUUGACUUUAUGUUAGAUAACGUUAUAACUUAUUUACGGUUAGUGUUUUUGUUAUGAACAUGUUUAUUUGAAAUAUAAUGAAGUUUUGUUUCUU